GAUGAACGCUGGCGGCGUGCUUAAUACAUGCAAGUCGAGCGAACAGACGAGGAGCUUGCUCCUCUGACGUGUGCCGCAGACGGGUGAGUAACACGUGGAUAACCUCCCUAUAAUACUGGGAUAACUUCGGGACACCGGCGCAAACACCGGAUAAUAUAUUGAACCGUAUGGGUCAAUAGUAAAAGUCGGCGUUUCUGUCACGAAUAGAUGGUUCCGAGCUGCAUUAGCUAGCUGGUAAGGUACCGGCUUACCACGGCAGCGAUGCGUAGCCGACCGGAGAGGGGGAUAGGCCGCACUGGAACUGGACCACGCACCAUGCGCCUACGGGAGGCAGCAGUAGGGAAUCUUCGGCAAUGGGCGGAAGCCUGACGGAAUGGCGCCGCGUGAGAGAUGGAGGUCUUCGGAUCGUAAUACUCUGUUUUUAGGGAAAAACAAAUGUGUAAGUAACUAUGCACGUCUUGACGGUACCGAAUCAGAAAGCCACGGCUAACUACGUG
rnacentral:rRNA from 1 species